CAGUGGCCAGAGCCCUGCAGUG
rnacentral:miRNA from 1 species